AUGGCGUCUUUCUGCCGCUCCGCCGCCGCCGCGGCCAGGUCGGCUGCGCUCCGGUCCAAGUCCCGGAUCGCGAGCCCGUUCCCGGCGACGAGGUCUCCCGUUGCCGCUCCUCGCCUCCGCAGGUCCACGGUGAAGAUGCUGGCGGGCGCGGAGUCGCUGAUGCCGCUCCACAGCGCGGUGGCUGGCGCGCGGCUACGGUCGUGCAUCGCCGCCGACUCCUCCUGCUGGAGCUGCCUCUCCCAAGACUUUGCUCUUCCUCGGUGA
rnacentral:rRNA from 1 species